CAAGGACACAGUUCAACUGACAGUAUUAAUUAUGGGAGAAUUUAAUGGUUAAGUACUUGCACACUUGUAUUGGUCAGCUUUAUGAGUGGGUCAGGAAAGUGUCAGAAUAGUGGUUGAUAGCCGUCCAUU